CACAGCUGGCCAGCAGGCGGGGCCUCCGUGUCUGUGGCGGGGAUGUCACCUUUCUUCGCAGGAAGAAACACUCUGUCUUCCUGCUUUGAGGACAGCUGAAGUCUUGCCACUUCUUCUGGAUGCUCUGACCAUCAGUAAGAGACACGGUCUGACUUUGUUACCCCGGCUGGAGUGCAGUGGUGCAAUCAUGGCUCACUGCAGCCUUAACCUCCUGGGCUCAAGUGAUCCUCUCGCCAAGGCUAGGAUAAGUAGCUAGGACUACAGAUGCGCCCCAUCACGCCCAGCUAAUUUUACAACUUCUGUAGAGAUGGAGUGUUGCUGGGUUGCCCAGGCUGGUCUUGAAUUCCUGGGCUCAAGCGAUCCUCCUGUGUCCGGAAUUGGUGGGUUCUUGGUCUCACUGACUUCAAGAAUGAAGCCGCGGACCCUCGCGAGUCUGUAUCCACCAGCUACUCUUCCAGAUUCAUGAGGCAAGGCCUGCCUGCUCACCUGGCUGGCCCCAAGCACCUCUUCAACCUGUUGCCACCGUCCUGCCUUGCUGCCCUUCUCAGCUCAUCCAGCAGGGUCUCCAAGUCGUGGAAACAGAAGCACAUAUACACACAUGCUCAUAUGUACAUGCCCACAGUCACAUAAGCACACCGAGAAACACCAUCGCAGACAUGUUCUCACAAGCACAUGUGCAUAACACUCACUACCCCUCACGCGUAUACACAUUAAUACACACACUCAUGCACACUCAGUCUUACACACACAGACACACAGCCAUAAUCACUGUUGUUGGUUGAAUUGUGCCCCCCCAUCCCCACCAAAAAGAUAAGUUGGAGUCCUAACCCCCAGUACCUGGGGAUGUGACCGUAGUUGGAAAUAGGGUGUUUGUAGAUGUAAUCAAAUUAAGAUGAGAUCUUACUGGAUUAGAGUGGGCCUUAAAUCCAGUGACUGGUGUCCUUAUAAGGAGAAAAAGAUUUGAAAACAGAGACAUGGAGACACAGAGCAGAAGGCCAUGUGAUGAUGGAGUCAGAGAUUGGAGUGAUGCAGCUAUGAGCCGAGAAAUACCAAGGUGCUGGCAGCCCCCAGAAGCAAGGAGAGAGGCAAGGAACAAUCUCCAUCAGAGCCUCUGGAAGAAACAGACUCUGCCAACACCUUGAUUUCAGACUUUUGGCCUCCUUCACUGUGCGAGAAUACGUUUCUGUUGUUUUAAACUACUGAGUCACCAAGUCUGUGGUACUGUGUUAUGGCAGCCCCGGCAACAAAUCCAAUCACACACACACACACACACACACACACACACACACACACACACACACACACAGCUGGCUCCAGGCUCAGUGAUGAGCUCAGAGGAGUUCCCCUUGGGAGCUGCUCUUUCUCUGUCUUCCUUCCUUAGUGAUUGGUCCAGUGGAUCCACAAAAGCUCAUGGCCCAGAGCAGGAGCCCAGUCAUUUUUAAUUCCUCUUCCCUGGAGUUCUUAACCAUGCGUUGCCCUCAAAAUCUGCUCUCAAGAUUUGGGUUGCCAUAUUUAGGAGCACCAGAAAACAUACAGGAAUGCUGUGUCUGCUUGCAUCAUAUUAAUUAAAAACUGGAAAUAACCUAAAUGUCCCAGAAUAGGUACAUAAACUGUGGCAUAUCCACUUAAUGGAAUACUACUCAGCAAUACAAAAGGAAAACCUAGUGUUACUUGAGCAACAUGGAUGAACUUCACAGACAUAAUAUUGCACAGCACGAGGCAGACACAAAAGUGUGCAUAUGCUAUGAUUCCAUUUACAUGAGAUUCAAGAACAGGCAAAGCAGAUCUAUGGGGAUAGAAGUCAGAAUAGUGGUUACCUCUGGAAGGUGGAAUUGACUGGGAGGGGCUUCAGGGAACCUCCUGGGGUGCUGAAAACAUUCUGUGCUUGCACCGGGUGGUGGUUAUGUGGGCAUUACAUAAAAUUCACCAAGCUGCACCCUUAAUGAUUUGUACAAUUUGAUGCACAAAUCUAACAUCUCAAGAAGAAUAAAUUUUACAAAGUACCUAAGAAGCAAA
rnacentral:lncRNA from 1 species